GCGAACGGCAGGCCUGGACGCUGAUUAAGUGCGAGCUGUGCUCUGGGAGCUGGGCUGGAGACACACGUGGACCAGAGGUGCGCAGGCUGCGACAUGGGGCAGGGCUGCGGCUGUGAAGAGAGUAGACCCCCUGAACCACCCAUAUGGGACCCCUCAUUGGAGGGUGGCCUCAGCCAAGAACUCAGAAAACGCAAGGACUCAAGAACUCAGGGAGGAAUACUCUUCUACCUCAUUCCUUAGGGCAACAUGACCCUUCUUGGAGUGUAAGAGGAAGAAGAAGUAUACUGGGGUCUGCCCAGGGCCCCCACCUGAACACUGCUGCCGGCUGCGUGGCCUUGGCAAACACACCCUCUCUGUUGGCACCUUCUCCGGGAAACAGCAAUAACACACUCAUCUGGUCGGUCAGAAUUGGCAUCUCCACCACCACCUCUCAUCGUGGUGUGCCCUCCUGGGGCAAUGACCAUGCCUGCUGUGGGGAGCUGUUCGCCUAACCCUCACGUGCUUGUGACUGUGCCCUCGGGAAAAGGCAAAACAAAGAGAGAAGACACAGAGGAAGAGGACAAGGCUGCAGAAGGCAAGGCACAGGCUAGACUAGUACAGCCAUCAACGGAAGACACCUGCGGCCACCAGACCCUUUGCUGGGAGCAUGGUCUGCCAACCCUUCACUUCAGACUUCUGGCCUUUACAAUGCUGAUGAAGUUUCUGUUGUUUUAAGUCACCCAGAUGGCAGCCAUGGGAAACUAAUAUAGCGGCCAUGAGGCUUGAUCCUUGACACGGUGCUGGCUUGGGGAUGGAGCACAGAGCCAGACAGACCAGACCCUUGGGCCGUGCACAGUCAAGCUGAGGCCCAAAGCAGACCCCUUACCCUGAAGGAACCUGCGGAUAGCGGGAAGGUUUAUGGGAACAGGGUGCAGCAAGGUUACGGUUUAAGAGAUAAGUAGGAGUUAGUCAGAAGCCAGCUCUGGCUGAAGCUGAGAUAGCAUAACCCAGCAACCUGUAGUAAUUGUGGUUGUCAGUUGUAAACUGUUGGGAUGAUAGCUUAAAUCAAACCUCACUUACUUACCCAGUGCUGCUGUAUAAGGGGAUGGUCCUGAGAAACUGAGGUUCACAGAAAUAAUGCUUCCCAGGUCUGCAUGAUGUCUCGAGAAUUAAGCCAGAAUUUCAACCCAGGGCUGGAUGGGGAGCCCCCAGAUGACAUAGGCACCCAUAGGCCCCAAGGCGGUCCAUGGGGUGUGAUAGCAGUGCUCCCUGUCUUGUGAACCCGUAGCAGACUUUUAAUGACCUCUCCCACAUCUCCCACUGUGACCUUGCUUGCCUCAUGUCACAAAA